UUUUUUAAACCAUUCUAAGGAUAUAUGUUAUAUAUAAGUAUAUACAUAUAUAUAUAUUGCUGAAAUAUAUAUAAAUAUACAUAUAAUCUCAAGUUUUAUAAAUUAUUGCUUAAAUAUUAAUAUAUGAUUGUUCGUAAUUUUAGGAUCAUAGGUAACAAUAAAAGUCAUUAAAAUAUUAAUUGCAAUGACUGCGUUCUGUAUUAUAGAAGAGCAAUUCCAAGAGAACGCGUAAAUUUGUAGCAAGUUACCAAAUCUAUACUAUAGGACCCUCGAUUCACACAAUGGCAGAAACCUUCACUGAGGAAAUACGUUCGUUGAACAUGCUAGGAGGUUACGUGGUCCGAGUGAAAGAAACCUAAUGGUAUGAUCUCGAUCCAUAGAAAGUGGUAAUUUAUGGUUAACGUUGGCGUUAAUUCACUUGAAUAGCAUCCUAGUUACACAUGCAAGCCAAAUUGGCAUCCCUAGGACGCGUACAAUUAUUCUAACCACUCAUAUAACGACUAUAGAAGUUAUAAUUGUUGGUAUUUCUCUCUGUUGUAUUUAUAUUCGUCUUAAUAAGAAGUUCAUUAACUGGUAGAAGCCAUCAUAAACAACAAUCAGAUUACGAAAAUGAUCAGGUCGAAUUUUUUCAUGGUGUCAAGACUGAUUGUCUAGCAGAAGACUCGUGGCGAAUAUGGGGUAACUAUCUGGAGCUAUUUCUCUAUUCAGAAACUUGACUGAUGCCAACUAACCUAAUCAUAUGGAACAGUUUCUAAACGAUUUCACGCAUUCACUUCGCAGAAAACAUUAACUCAUCUCCAAUUGACGCGUUUACUCCCUCAAUAAAGCGAUCUUCACAUCUAUUUCUAUGAUUUGUUCCUCAUCAGACAUCGUCUCCGCUUAUUAGCAUGUUCUUUUCAAUGAAAUUACGAGGUAUUGUAUCCAUGAGAUAUUAGAAGUACUUUUGCAACUAAAUUUUUUCUCAAAUUAUAAUAAUGUUUUUAACAAUUAUUUUUAAAGCGGAUAAUUUAAAAAAUUAAAGUUUGGAAGUUCAAAAUUGGAAGAUCUGAAAUUUGAAGUUUAAAAGAUUAAAAUUGUUGAGGUUAUUCGAUGUGUAAACAGAGAAAACACGUGGAUAAAUUGUAAGGCAGAAAAUAUAUUUAAAUAGAAGUGUAAUUAUAAGUAAGAAUACAAUUUAAGCUGGUCCAGAUCCGCACGCUAGCUGUGUUACCCAAUAACUGAAAACCCCGAAGCCAACGUCGCCUGUCUACUGUUUAUGGUCUGACUUCGUCGCAGUCUUUUGUCUACGCGCUGUCGCUGGCUUCAGUGCUUGAGAAAAUUAAAAAGACCAGAUGUAGAGUUUUCUUAGGAGUGGUAAUCACUUCAACAAAAAUUGUUCUUGUGAAAUUUUGACUAUUCGAAAAAAUGAGAUAGAAUGGAACGUACAUAUGAAGCCAUGUAUAACAGUUAAAUCGCAAUAAUGAGGCCAAAUAGUAUGGCAAAUAAUCAUACGAGCCGAAUGACAUGAUCGUCAUCCAACACUACUAUUAUAUUCGUUUCGUAAAACGUAUUACUCGCUCAGGAUUGCCGGCAGUUACUUAAAUCGCCAAACGUAGGCGAUUCUUACAACAUGCUCGAGCACGCGGGAAUCACUUUCCCCGCAACCCCUUAUAAAUUCACUAUUAAUUCCUCCUUCCAGCUAUUUGAGUAAAAUAUCAAUUUUUAAUCAAUGAUUCAAAUACAAAAAUUAUAUCCUUCGAGAUUCCUAAUUACAUGUGUGACUAUAAUUACUACAGAGCUAAAAACUAUAAGGAAGAUAUUUAACUUACUUCAAAACUGAAAUGAGAGAGCAGAGAGAAGACUAAUUUGUCUGUGUUUCCAGAUGAUUAAUGGAAUAAAAAUGAUAAAGAAAACACACAAAAAUCACUCAGAUACAAUAAAAAGCGCAAAGUCGAUACAAAGAUAUAUAUACGGCUCUCAAUGCAGAAUUAAUAACUCUUUUAUUCAUAAAGUAGCUGAUUUGUUGAACCUGUAAUCAGCUGUUAUGAAUAUAUUCCUUCAACUACUACAUAGGGGCUUUAUUGUAUUUACAGAAUUACAACCACACGACGAUGAAUAGUACAAAACAUCCAGGAAUGAAUAUUGAAUGGAUCUGUCAUAAACUUGUCCCAAAAAAGCAUCCAGUAGCCAUACCCAAUCACUCAGGACACCUUUACUCUAUUUAUAAUCUCACUAAGUUAUUCAACCUUGAAAGGAUCAACCAGCAAAUUGAAAAAUCACUUGAGUUUCUAUUACGAAGAUAAAGGGAUCACACUAAAUGACCUACAGGAUCAAUAGUUUCGCAAAACAACUCAUAGUAGUCUCUAUAGUACACACGUGGUUAGACUAUACCAAUUUGCUAUAAUGAUUCGCCUUUGGCAUAUUUACAGCCGCUAAUUCGUUUCCUAAUCUGAUUUCGUAAUUUCAGUAUAGUGUUGCGUUAUCUUGAAUAGCCGAUACAGGCCAGUCUGUGACGGGACACUUGAUUAGUCCCGACAUAAUUAUCGCUAAUUAUAGCUGACACAGUGAAAAUGAGUUCGGGGUAGAGGCUGGCCUGCAUGGAAGCUCGUGUCCCAUAAGAGCGCCCAGAUUCUGUCUUUCUCUUUCUAAUGUUUGCCACGGAAUCACGGAGUGAACGUUUUGAUGCACCGUCUACUCCGUAAUCGGGGAUAAACGAUUAUACAUCCUGAGGGUUGCUCUCGGAUUCUCUCAAUGGGAUUGAAGCUGCUGGAAUCUUUUUUCUAAUUUAUCCUAGUCACUAUCAGAUCCAACAGAGCUAACAUCUGAUCGUCAAUCCAGCAUAUUUAUUGCAUCGUAGAAGUACCAACGUAACGCGUCUCUUCUCACUGACCGUUCUCCGACAGUUUUAAACGAAGUCAAGGAAAUUAACUUUAAAUGGAGCGUUGGGGCUCGCAGAAAGCACUUUCAAAACUGUUGUAGCACCGAUUAAACCAGCAACUCAUCUUUCACGUCGGCCAAUCUUAGACCGCGAAUCAGACGCAUCCUAUCCGAUUACGUCACGUUGUUUUCUCACACAUCCCCUGUCACCGGUGGAAGGACAAAACUGCUCGUGUUUGUCCUUCCUGUUUCUAUGGGGCUCAGUUCUGCGUCUUCAAUGCGAGAGAUUAGUUGAAAGUUUAAUCAUUAUUGACUUUAAAAAUAGGAAAAUAAAAGAUUUUGUGGUUGA